UCCAAGUUUCCUUGGCAGUCUAUUUAGAGUUCUCAACUAAAUGGUAGCAACUAAAUAUGAGGGUUGCGUUCGUUAUGGCACUUAAGCAUAAACUUCACAGCACGAACUGACGACGACCAUGCACCACCUGUGUCGGGAUAACCUCCGUUGAGUUUCCCCAACUUUGCCCUCCAUGUCAAACCUUGGUAAGGUUUUGCGCGUCGUAUCGAAUUAAACCACAUGCUCCACCGCUUGUGCGGGUCCCCGUCAAUUCCUUUGAG
rnacentral:misc_RNA from 1 species